UUAGAAUUUGUUAUUAAAUACCUCUUGUCCUGGAAUUCCAUCUGUACCCUAAAAUGUUAAACAAUUUUAGUUAGUUAGUGUGUAAUAAGUUUUGGAUUCGUCCAUCUUGAUUUUGAGCGAAGAUGACUUGAUUGUUAUAACAUCUAGAUCACCGUAUAAUUAUGAAUAAAAGUUAUUACCAAAAAAAGCGAGAGGGAGAUGAAGAUAGUGUAAUAAUACUGCUUUCUGGACUCUGAAGUAGAUACACGGAAGAAUAAACGUUUAAAAACAAGUUUCAAGCUAGUUGGGUAUUUCACUUAAAUUUUAUAACAUUAUAUUUCUAGCAGAAGACUAGAUUUUGUUGACAGAAGAUGAGGCACUCUUAGUACAAGGCUAGAUAUUAUGGACAGAAGACUAGAUACUGUUGAUAGAAGAUGAGGUACUGUUAAUAGAAGACUAAAUACUGUGGAUAGAAGACUAGAUACUAUUGGCAGAAGUCCAGAUACUGUUAGCAAAAGACGAUACACUUUUGGCAAAGCACUAGAUAUCGCUCAUGGAAUAUUAUUAUUAUUUUUAUUGAAUUAAAAGUAGAACUAACACUAAACAUAGAACUAGAAACAUUUGGCUUUAGCGUACAUCUCUUAAGACGGCUAAACCCAAAUGUUUCCAGUUUUAGUACUA